rnacentral:rRNA from 1 species
UACGUAGGGUGCGAGCGUUGUCCGGAAUUAUUGGGCGUAAAGAGCUUGUAGGUGGUUUGUCGCGUCUGCUGUGAAAAUCCGAGGCUCAACCUCGGACUUGCAGUGGGUACGGGCAGACUAGAGUGUGGUAGGGGAGACUGGAAUUCCUGGUGUAGCGGUGGAAUGCGCAGAUAGUCAGGAGGAACACCGAUGGCGAAGGCAGGUCUCUGGGCCAUUACUGACACUGAGAAGCGAAAGCAUGGGGAGCGAACAGGAUUA